AGGGCCGCGGUAACUUGACCGUGCGAAGGUAGCAUAAUCAUUAGUCUUUUAAUUGGAGGCUUGAAUGAAUGGUCGGAUGAGGGACGUUCUGUCUUUCUUUUAAAUUGUGAAUUUAACUUUUAAGUGAAAAGGCUUAAAUUUCUUAGUGGGACGAUAAGACCCUAUAAAACUUAAUUUAGUGGGGAAUUGGUGGUAAAUUUAGUUUAAAGUUAUUCUUUCUUUAUUGAAUUUUGUUGGGGAGACAUUAAUAUAAUUGUAACUGUUGUUAAAAUUUAAUAAUUAUAGUUAGUUUUUGAUCCUUUGGUAGAGAUUAUAAGACUAAGUUACUUUAGGGAUAACAGCGUAAUUUUCUUUGAGAGUUCUUAUCGACAAGAUUAGUUGCGACCUCGAUGUUGAAUUAAAAUUUCAGGAAGGUGUAGUCUUUUUCCUAGUAGGUCUGUUCGACCUUUAAAAUUUU
rnacentral:rRNA from 1 species